UGCGAAGAAUACACUUUUCAACAAGACUGCAAACCCUUAAAAUUAAUAACAUUUCUGCAAUUAUUUAACCAUUUUUAUGAAAUAUUUAUUUUGUUUGCCGUGGGACAUAAACGCCAUUUUCUCCAACAUGCUGUGACUGAAAAAUAGAACCAUAAACACACCAAAAACGCAACAUAAUAACAUCAGUCAGUUUUAUUUGUGCUUUGUAAUCCAAGUCUUCUGAAUUCAUACAACUGCGAGUAACAAAUCCAAAUUCUACCCUUUAUUCAGCGAUCUUCAUUCAUCUUCAGCAACGACCGUAUAAACAUCAAAGCCUGCACUGAUUCGUUCGUCCAAAUUCAAAAUUUACCACUUCAAUUAACUACGGCACUAAAAUCGAACGCUCAUUGGUCCUCGCCUGCUUCGUCACAGAUUGCGACAGCAGUGUUCCUGUCGAGGUGUUUGAAUGAUGCGCGCUUUCACAAAGUGAAUCAGGAGGAUAGUCUGGGUAAUAUUUUUAGCGAUUAAAAACUUAAAUUGUGCUCUGUACCUCACACCAAACUAUUGUAUUUCACCUGCGGUGGCAACGCAGCAUCAUUUGGACUAGUUUUGACCUGGCCAUGUACCCUGCCCUCUUCAUACAGGUUGUCAUGAUGUAAUUACAGAAGGCAGCCGAAGAACAACUUGGGGCACCUCCUGAAAACAGAGACAGUGACUCACACACACGCGCACACACACACAGACACUAAAUAUAUAAUUAAUAUAAAUCAAUAUGUUCUUGUUACUGUUUCCCAUUAUUUGGACACAUUUUGAUGCUUUACUGUGGAAAUUGUCAUAUCAAUAAAGCCAAUUUGAAAAUAAUUGAAUUGACUGAUAGUUUCCUGUAAUGUGUUACUAAAGGUUCUAAAAACAUUCAGUAAAUGUGAAGGAAGGACCUAAAUAGGACCAAAAAAACAUUUUAGGUUCGUCCUGCAAAUGUUAUGGGAAUGUAGUGUAGAGACUAAUAGGGGACUUCCUAUAGAAAUAACCUAAACGUCCCAA